GGAAAUCCACAGGUGAGGAAAUGACUCCAUUUGGUUUGGUGACUCCUAGCCCAAGACACCCAGAAGCCUCUUGUGCCCUGUGAUUGAUCUCCUAAAAUGCCCUCUUGCUCAAGCUUCAAGCAGUCAAGCCCACUGAGGCUUUAGAAAACCCCAAAAGAGAACCGAAUGGCAGCAGGAGAGGUCAGGAGCAGACAGGAUCAUGGCGAUGUGUGGCACAAAAGAUAAGUUUAAAGGGCACAGUCCUGCCUGUUCGAUAAGAAGAUUUUAUUUUUAGUUUUCUGUUCUCCGGGUGGGGGAAAAUGUGUGUCUCUAGCUUAAUUGCAUCUUUUUUUCCACCUUAAUGGUCUUGACAAACAUCAACUUGGAGGGUAUAUGGCAUGUACUAUGUUGGCUGCAGAUGUCUUGGUUUCAGGUAUGUUGCAUAUGUGUGUUGACUGCAGGCAUGUUGCAUGUACUGUGCCGGCUGCAGCCGGGUGGUGCUGUGGCUGUGUUACUCGUAGCAUCUUCACUUCAGAGUCUUAGUGGCCUUGUCUCGCCUCCUGUCCCUUUUUGACAUAUCCCAAAGGACAGUGUAUAAAACACUCCAGGCUCUUUCCCAGCUGUGUAGGUCAUCGACCUCAAGGUCUACAGUACAACACGACGUCAUUGCUAAUAGCUUCAGCUGUCAUCGCUCUGUGGUUGGCUCAUCUGCCACGCCUCUGUCUUCCACGAGCCUGCCUGUAGCACUCAUAGCAGAAGAUGUCUUGUCCUCUUGCACAAUGCCUAGAAGAGAGAUGACACCAAAGGAUGUGCUUGCUGACCCUCGGCCCCAUCCCAAACCUGGGCGCAUGGUCCUCUUCAAACAGGAGGAGUUCUAAUCUGUUGUACUCAGGAAUCAGGGGCCGAAGGCAAAAACACAAGGUUACUUACUAAGGGGCGUUUGAAGGUUUAAGGAUCGGUCUUUGUGGAUGUAGAGAGCAACAGGAUGAAAGAGAGGCUGAUGAAGCAAGGAGCAUUGAAAGAAGAAUGCAAGGUUUAAGGGAGUUGGGAUGGUCGCCACUGCUUGCUUCCCUGGUUUCCAAGGCCAGCAGGCGUUUCAGGGCACUGGUAUAUUAAGGAAGUUGGUUUAUAAUUACAUGUCUUUCACAAGCUGCUGCCUUGGGGUCUGGGACACGAGCUCAAAUUACUGUUUCUACUGGAAGCGAUUCUCGAUGCUCGUGGAGGCUAAGAAAAAAUGUUUAUUCAGUCUGUGUCAGAGGACCUGGGCUAUAGCCAUUCUUCACCCCCACCCACCAACCCACCUCCCUAUAUCCUCUGCACGUGCUCCAUAGUGUCUGCUGGCCACUGUGAGUUCAGACGCCAGGGAAAAGCCAUUCACAUAAGGCAAACGCCGGUCAUUUUACUAAGUAUUACUAAGUUUGGUUUUAUGAAUUUGAAGUAAGAAACACUAUAUUGUGCUAACCAGUAGUAGCGCAUGACUCUUAAGCAGAAGGCUCCAGGGGUCCCAUUUUCUUGGGAGGAUUGGCCUCAGGGGAGUGAUGCUGUUGUCAAGAGUGGUUUUUUUAACCUACGUUUGAUAAGCCCACCUGUAACGGUUGAGGGCGGGCUGAUGAGGACGCUGGGACACUAAGGCUUUCUUGCCCAUGUGUUGGACAUGGGUUUUUUGUUUUUUU